rnacentral:tmRNA from 1 species
GGGGGCGAAUUGGUCUCGACGUGGUCGGAGGACCGUUGGCUGCAUGCCGAGAUCCCGCCUAUCUCGUUAAACGGUGGAAAAAAAACAAGUGACGAAGCCAACUUCGCACUGGCUGCCUAAUUAAGUAGCCCGUUCCCGGGUCGGGGGGUCGCCGGACUGGCCCAAUGGGAGCGCCGUUUUCCGGUGUCUGGUCCAGAAGCAGGUCCCUGGCGGACGGACGAGACUUUUUAGAGGGACUAGCCUGAUGGUUGGCACGUUCCCUGGCCAUCCUGAGGGUUAAAUUAACAGGGGACUAAGCAUGUAGAUGCCGGCGGGGCGCCGGUUACGGACGCGGGUUCGAUUCCCGCCGCCUCCACCA